UGAGGUCAGGACAGCCUUUACAGCAGCUUAUAUAGCAGAUAUUGUUGAACUACAACUCGCAUUCAUCCCUGAUCACUGGUCAUGUUGCCUGGGGCUGACUGGAGUUGGACUCCAACAACAUCUGGAAGGCAACAGAUGCCUGCCCCCCCUUUACAUGCUCCAGACAACAUAGCCAGUGGUAAAGGAUUAUGGGAGUUGUAGUCCAACAGCACCUGGAGGAUCACACAUUCCCCACCUCUAUUCUAACAGUUACUGGAAAACCAGUGCAGGCAAGCAGCCAAGAAGGCAAAGAUAUGGAGGCAGCAAGUGGGAAUCAGGUGGACUCAGGAGUACCAAAGGCCCAGACAGUCAACCAACAAGCAUUUAGCAGCUGCAGCUGUAUCUCACUUGCUCCCAGAGGAAUAUUGCUCUAUCAGCCAAGAGGGAAUUACUAGAGAUACAUGCCUGUCAGUGAGCAGCAACUGUAGGGCUCUUGUGGACAGACAUCUCUGUGAAGUAGAAGUCCCAACAGAAAUACUGAAUACUGCUGAGAGUUACAUGCUACUUUUUGAUAUGACACUUUAAACAUGAGAUAGAAAAAUGCCAAAGGGUUUCUGAGAGACAAGGCUGUAAGGUGGUAUUUCUUAGGCUCACAUCUGUGGGUUAGGGUGUACAAUCAUCAGAAGACAUUUAUUCAAGUCAGUAAAGUGCAGGCAACGCUAUGAAACAGGGCUGGAUUAAGACAUGCUGAGGCCUUAAACCAGUGUUUCUCAACCGGUGUGCCUCCAGAUGUUGUUGGACCACAAUUCCCAUCUU